rnacentral:rRNA from 1 species
UACGUAGGCAGCAAGCGUUGUUCGGAGUUACUGGGCGUAAAGGGUGCGUAGGCGGCUUUUUAAGUUUGGUGUGAAAUCUCCCGGCUCAACUGGGAGGGUGCGCCGAAUACUGAGAGGCUAGAGUGUGGGAGAGGAAAGUGGAAUUCCUGGUGUAGCGGUGGAAUGCGCAGAUAUCAGGAGGAACACCAAUAGCGAAGGCAGCUCGCUGGGACGUUACUGACACUGAGGCGCGAAAGCGUGGGGAGCGAACAGG